rnacentral:rRNA from 1 species
CUACGGGAGGCUCCAGGCGCGAAACCUUCACACUGUGCGAGAGCACGAUGAGGGGAUCCCAAGUGCUAGUUCGUAAGAGCUAGCUGUUUUUCUGUCUAAAAAACAGUGAGAGUAAGGGCUGGGUAAGACGGGUGCCAGCCGCCGCGGUAAUACCUGCAGCCCAAGUAGUUAUCGUUAUUAUUGGGCCUAAAACGUCCGUAGCCUGUUUGGUAAAUGCUUGGGUAAAUCGUGUGGCUUAACCAUACGAAUACCGGGUAGACUGCCAGACUUGAGACCGGGAGAGGUUGGAGGUACUCCUGGGGUAGAGGUGAAAUUCUGUAAUCCUGGGGGGACCACCAGUGGCGAAGGCGUCCAACCAGAACGGGUCUGACGGUGAGGGACGAAGCCCUGGGGCGCAAACCGGAUUAGAUACCCUUGUAGUC